AUUAAUUGCUAGGGGUGCCCAAAAGUGGCUGAGAUAGAGCUAUUGCUCUUGUCCCUUCGAACCUGAUCUGGUUAAUACCAGCGUAGGAAAGCAAAUCGUUUAAUAU
rnacentral:ncRNA from 2 species